rnacentral:rRNA from 1 species
GAUGAACGCUGGCGGCGUGCCUAAUACAUGCAAGUCGAGCGAACAGACGAGGAGCUUGCUCCUCUGACGUUAGCGGCGGACGGGUGAGUAACACAUGGAUAACCUACCUAUAAGACUGGGAUAACUUCGGGAAACCGGAGCUAAUACCGGAUAAUAUAUUGAACCGCAUGGUUCAAUAGUGAAAGACGGUUUUGCUGUCACUUAUAGCUGGAUCCGCGCCGCAUUAGCUAGUUGGUAAGGUAACGGCUUACCAAGGCAACGAUGCGUAGCCGACCUGAGAGGGUGAUCGGCCACACUGGAACUGAGACACGGUCCAGACUCCUACGGGAGGCAGCAGUAGGGAAUCGUCCGCAAUGGGCGAAAGCCUGACGGAGCAACGCCGCGUGAGUGAUGAAGGUCUUCGGAUCGUAAAACUCUGUUAUUAGGGAAGAACAAAUGUGUAAGUAACUAUGCACGUCUUGACGGUACCUAAUCAGAAAGCCACGGCUAACUACGUG